rnacentral:rRNA from 1 species
GAUCAUGGCUCAGGACGAACGCUGGCGGCGUGCCUAACACAUGCAAGUCGAACGGAGAUGUUUAUUUCGGUAGAUAUCUUAGUGGCGCACGGGUGAGUAACGCGUGAAUAACCUGGCCCGAAGAGGGGGAUAACACCUGGAAACAAGUGCUAAUACCGCAUAAGACCACGGACCGGCAUCGGUCAGAGGUCAAAGGAGGAAUCCGCUUUGGGAGGGGUUCGCGUCCCAUUAGGUAGUUGGUGAGGUAACGGCCCACCAAG